UCAUUAAUUGAAAAAAAAACUCUUACAUACCCCUUAGGUUCUAGGGCAUGUGCUGACCGUGGAGGAUAUGAAGGUUAAAAAGACAUCAUCCCUUAGAGUCUGCGAGAUUCUGGAUGGAACCAGGAGAGGUGGAAGGGUCUCAGAAGUCACACAGUCUAUGUCACGGUCACACAGGGGGCACUGCCGGGAUGACUUUGGCCAGUGGCCAGCUCUGAUCCUGCCCCUCCUAUGAUGGGCACUGACCACCUGGUAACAUCACCACUGAAUUUUCGGCCAGCUUGGUUAUGCUGUGCUUCCUU
rnacentral:lncRNA from 10 species